rnacentral:misc_RNA from 1 species
AGCAAGAACCUCUCACUUCCUCCUUGGAGAAAAAAUCGUUACAUGCAAAACAAAUGGCUGGGUCCCUACCGUCGGACGACCAAUCCAACCCCGGCGAGCUCGUUAACUUCGGUUAUCCACCCCGUUAAUGGAGUGACAUGUAGGCUUGUUGGGUUCGACGACGGCGUGAGUGGCCGUUUGUUUGUCCGAACGAGAUGAUUAUAGCCGUCAAUAUUCAAACCAUGAUCAAUUGUUAUGUAAAACAACGAAUUGUGAAUACUUCCGCAAUUAUCUGUCCUUGCCUUUUUUUUUCAAAAUUACAAUUUUGGCCUUUUACGAAAAUUAAAAAGAAAAAAGCGAUUGGAUAGAGAGGUGUAACGCGGCAAAUGCACGUUGUGUGUGUGCAUACAGGCAAAGGAUAGACGACGAAGGAUUUUGAGCAACAACUAUAGUUCUAAAUUCCGAAUCAGAUAAUGACGCGCGGUAGAUUUUUCUCGCGCGACAGGGCGUGCAACGUGUCAAUGGAUGAAUCAUAGAAUUACUACUGGUUGGAGUUGACGUGGCGUGUAGUGGUGGGCGCAGUGGAUCAGGACUAAUAAGGUGUAUGGAUAAUGUUGUUAAAUAGAUAUAAUUUUUGGAGGGGACAGAGACAAGAUUGGGAUAAGGGGGAGAUUGAGGAGGUAGAAUGAUUGAGAGUAAGUAUCAAGUGGCCCAAUGAUGAGCGAGUAGCCACAAGCCAGGUAUAGGCAUGGCCUGAUGGAUAAUUAAAGAGGGUGGGGCAAGGUUCUGAUGGAUAAUUAAAGAGGGUGGGGCAAGGUU